CAGGGGCCCCUCGGGGAUGAGCGCCGCGCGGGACGGGAGGGAGGGGGCGUGCCGAGCAGCCCAGAGUGUGCCGGGAGCGCGGGGGAGGGGAGGCGCCGGGCGCGUCAAUGUCACGGCUCAAUAUUUCGACCGAUACCGUUGUUCUUCUCCUCCGCCCUCCCCGACCGACUCCGGGCGCCUGGACGGACGGGGGACUUGGGGAGGGGGCCGUUGGGGAAGCGGGUGCGUAGGCGCUGCGGGUUCCCGGGGCGUGGGGCCGCAGAAUGGGGUUGGGGCUCCCCAGGACCCUGCAAGCCGACGCUAGGAAGGAGUACGCGAGUAGGGGUGGUCAGACAUCUGCUCGGAAAUUGCUUCCUUUCUUUCUACUUUCAGUUUUUCUGCCGAGACAUUGAAAAGGGACUCGCGCGCGCGCACACACACACACACACACACACACACACACACACAAAUGGUCUUCGGGGUCUGGCACUCUUAGUGGGAGACAGAACCCUGCCUCCGACUCGGAGGACCUCCCUGGUGCAAACUCCGGGAGGACACACCAUCUGAGUCAGCUGAUCAUUUCAUGGGAAUUCUUUCUUAGCCAGGUUGGAUGGAGUGUCUGUCUAUUCUUUGCAAGAGGAGCACCCCAGAAACGGAACACACCCCAAAUCAGCUUGGGCCUUGACAAAGCCUCCAUUGUGUCCUGAGAGGAAUGGAGAAAAGAGAGUGAUGCUCACAUGGAGACUUUUAUUAUCUUGUCCAGAUUUUGCCCUGAUUCCAUGGUACGGCAGGGUAGCCAAAAGGCCCCGCUUUGUUGAUUCAGCCAUACUUCCCAUCCCUCCACUUCUGAGAUGAACUAUGCUGGCCUCUCUUGUCAGGAGCACAAAAGAAUGGUGAAGGAAAGUUCUUGAAGCUGACUCAGGCUGACUCACAUAACUUAACACUAGGUAGGAAGGAGCCAUGAAGUCCAGAGAGCAAAGCUUGAACUUGCCUACUAAGCCAAAGCCACAAAUGAUUGAAGAUUCGGGCCAGGGUGGUGCUUGGAGCAGUGACCAUGGAUGAGAUACUCAACACCAUCGUCAGUCUGUUGGCUCCCGUGUUUCUGCACUUCCAAUGCUGCUUUCCAUUUUACCCCCAAAUUCUUCUGGGCUUAGUUGCCAUGACACAUACAUGACUUAUGCUACUCCUUGGUUGGAUAGUCUUUUGUCACGCAUUGUCAGCUUUCCCUCUUGGCCCUGCCCAACACAAAAAUAUCUUCUAAGACUCAACAAUCAGUGGUGGAAUUGUUCGGCAA
rnacentral:lncRNA from 1 species